rnacentral:rRNA from 1 species
GACGAACGCUGGCGGCGUGCCUAAUACAUGCAAGUAGAACGCUGAAGGAGGAGCUUGCUUCUCCGGAUGAGUUGCGAACGGGUGAGUAACGCGUAGGUAACCUGCCUGGUAGCGGGGGAUAACUAUUGGAAACGAUAGCUAAUACCGCAUAACAGUAGAUGUUGCAUGACAUUUGCUUAAAAGGUGCAAUUGCAUCACUACCAGAUGGACCUGCGUUGUAUUAGCUAGUUGGUGAGGUAACGGCUCACCAAGGCGACGAUACAUAGCCGACCUGGGAGGGUGAUCGGCCACACUGGGACUGAGACACGGCCCAGACUCCUACGUGAGGCAGCAGUAGGGAAUCUUCGGCAAUGGACGGAAGUCUGACCGAGCAACGCCGCGUGAGUGAAGAAGGUUUUCGGAUCGUAAAGCUCUGUUGUAAGAGAAGAACGAGUGUGAGAGUGGAAAGUUCACACUGUGACGGUAUCUUACCAGAAAGGGACGGCUAACUACGUG